rfam:Triticum aestivum genome assembly, contig: Triticum_aestivum_CS42_TGACv1_scaffold_307966_4AS
GAUAUACUCCCUCCAUUCUAAAAUUCUUGUCUUAGAUUUGUCAAAAUACGGAUAUAUCAAGUCACGUUUUAGUAUUAAAUACAUCCGUAUCUAGACGAAUGUAAGACAAGAAUUUUAGGACGGAGGGAGUAUUUA